UUGCCUGUUCUUGACUCUUGUGAUGAUGUAUGUGGUUAAGAAUGCUGCACCCUGCAAAGCACAGAACAUCUGCCUGGUACAAGUUAACACACACCAUUUAGGGUCUGUUUCAUUCCUGAGGUUCUACUCAAACAAGUCUUGUCAUGACAAAUAUGGAAAUGGCCAGGAACAAAACCUUGAGUGAGGAAGAACCUUUCCUUAUGAAGUAGACUGCUCUGCUUGAGCAAUGAUCAAGUUAUUGCUAUACUUCCGACAGACAAGGCAGAUGUUACAUUUACCUGAGGAGAACAGUGGAUAAGGGUUUUUGUCUUACCCUGUCGCGUGCCGGCUGAGGACAAAGGGUCUGCCACAGUGACUGGUCUGCAAACGUUGCGGUGUAUAUGAUCAAGCUGCUGAAUGCCUCUGUAACGUGACAGAGCAGCCAAACGUUGGGGCCAGGAAAGGGGUGGGACGGCAGAACAGUAGACAGCACAAAUGAGAGAGGUAGAAAGAAAAGGAACGUCCCUCUCCUGUUGUCCAAACUCAAGAGGAGCCUCUCCGAGUCGCGACGUGUGAUCUUCCCAAAAUACCACCUAGGGAAGAGAGGGAAGAGAGCACGGGGACACAGGGACCAGAUUGAGAGGAAGGGAGAAAGAAAAAAAAGUGUGGCUGUGUGUGUGUGUGUGUGUGUGUGUGUGUGUGAGUGAGAGAGAGCGCGGGCGAUAUAACUGCCUUCUGUGCAUGCCCCAAUCAAAGAAGUAUUGCAUUCUGAUUACUGCCCCUUACCUGGAAGCCAUAGGCAAUCUGAGAUGACUGGUAGGAUAAAGGUAAGAAAUGGAAUCAUUACACAGGUUAGUUUGUGUGUGUUAUUAUCCACGUGUGUGUCUGUGCAUGUCAGCUUGUGGAGUGUGUGUAUGCCUUCAAGGUGCAUAGAGAGAUACUGUAGAUGGAGCUCCUUUUGAAUUCCAUCAGUUUUAUUUUCAACUCUUGAUUAAAAUGAAAUUACAGGAGAGAGAAGAAAAGGUGGGACGGAUAAAUAGAGGAUGAGGGAGAGAGCGAAAGAAAGGAGGGAGGGAUUUACUCUUCUGCCUGGAUGGAGUCGGAAGGAGCCACAUAAUUGCUGGGGAUGUAACCACUUUCUCCAGUGGUCAGAGAGCGAGCCAGCCACCAGUCCCCUUCUCUGCGGAGACAAGAACGGAACGGUUUCACAGAUGGUCUCCUUUGCAAGUCUGUGAUUCCAGUUUACGUGGGGUGAUUUGGAUUCUACUUCAUAUGGUGGGAUACUUAAGACAGGACUCUUGAGUGAAGGAAACACUUUGCACACAGUACAUUCACAUUGGGAGGCAAAUAUUGAAUACAGUCUUCACAGAGGCUCUUCUUCACAUUCUAUUUCCAAUAUACAGGGACUACGGUGAAACAGUAACACGCGCUCAUACAGGGUCGACUCAACGGGAGGAAAUGAUUUACAAUAUCCGUAGACUACAGGGCGGUUUCGUGAAGACAGAUUAAAACUCCCGGACUAAGAGGAUGCGUCAAUUAAGAUUCUCCAUUAAACUCCAAUAGAUUCUCUAGGAUUAGGCUUAAUCUGUGUCCAGGAAAUCAACCCUACAACUACUAGGAACACUAAAGGAAUGGAUGCAGGGUGGAUUCAAACACAAACGUGUACUAUGACACCAUUAACCAAAUGCCGGGAAGUUAUCAUGUGAACCAGCAACUAUGAUGUGUUAAUGACGUGAACACACACACACAGCACAUUCAUUCACACGAAGGACACAAAAGACAAGAGAAGCUUCACUGACCUGCUGUUCAACUUUCUCCUACAUACAAUUACAAAAAGGUACAGAGAAAUAGUUUGGGGAGAUGGAGAGAGAGAAUAGAUGCGAAGGGGGUGGAUGGGGUUAAAAAAAGAGACAGAAAGCGUGUUAGCGAAGCAGAUUCGUAGGUAGAGAUACAGUAUACAGAACCAUUACAACAGGUAUCCGCCACCCCCUCAUCCCGACACUACAGCGGAACCUAGCUCCCUUUGCAAAGACCUACAGUACAGCCAUUAAACCAGAAGUCUGUCGAAAGAUCACACUGUACGUACAUGGAAACAAGGUUAUUGACUGAAUGCAUAGAAAGAAGAGACAUUCAGCAGCAUACCUAAAACAGAGGACAGAUAAUAUAAUUGGUGCAGACCUAAUAUUAACACCAAGAAAGCUUCAGAACAUUAUACCAAGUGCAUGGUGCAGAAAUAAAGCUGAGAACGGGUUGGCUCAUAACACAAGAAAUGGUGAAACAUUAUCUUGUGGUUAUCAUAUCACGGUGAGUUCACAGAGUUGACGUAUUUGACCUGGUAACCCUAAGGGAAUAGCUGUAGCAGCUUCGGGGGCAGAUGCACUAAUCACAAUAAUCCACUAUAGUUCGAUUGUCCUCAGCUCAGGCCUUCUAGGUCAACACUUUGUUAUAGCUAGAGUAUUGGGGGCUCGGCUCAGUUGAAUAAUAUGGUCCCACUGCACUUCUAUUGAUUAGAGAAAGACUCAAAUUUGUAAAAGCAGCACAGACUGACAUUAUUAGAAUGAAUGGUCAUUUCUGUCACUUUAACAUAUACGUUUACAUGACAGUUAUUUCGCAGACAAUUAUCGAGCAAGACUUCAACUAAGGUAGAGGCAGCAGGAAGGGGCUAGUAACAAACGGGAAGGGGUUGAAACGUAUCAGCCUCCAAGUGGACGCACCAGUGAGAUGAACAGCUGUACUUUUAUGAAUGAGCAGGAGAAAAUAGGAAAUCUACAACAAAAACGUGUCAGCUCACACAAAACAGAUACUGGUAAAGGGAGACUGUUUCUAUGGUUACGGGCUUUACAAAGGGCGGGUGACUGACACAGGGUUUGGGGGCAAAACAGCCAGCCAGCGCAGCAAGAGACCAGACAUGCAGACUACGGUGUGUGUGUGUGAGAGAGAGAGAGCGAGAAUGCGGGGGGGGGCAUGUGCGUCUAUCCCUGGGGAUAUGUCCCCAUCCUCAUCUAUGCUAAUAUGUUUAUUCUAUUCUACUGGGCCAUUUAAUUUAUGUUCGUAUUCUUAUAUUUUAUUUAUUCUUAUUGUGGCAUUGUUUAGAAGGAAGCUGCAAGUAAGUAUUUCGUUGGACAAUGUACAGUUGAAGUCAGAAGUUUACAUACACCUUAGCCAAAUACAUUUAAACUCAGUUUUUCACAAUUCCUGACAUUUAAUCCUAGUAAAAAUUACCUGUCUUAGGUUAGUUAGGAUCACCACUUUAUUUUAAGAAUGUGAAAUGUCAGAAUAAUAGUAGAGUGAAUGAUUUAUUUCGGCUUUAUUUUUUUAAUCAUCAGAUUCCCAGUGGGUCAGAAGUUUACAUGCUGCCAAAUAAUAAUGGAGUGUAUUGCCUUUAAAUUGGGUCAAACAUUUCAGAUAGCCAUCCACAAGCUUUCCACUAUAAGUAGGGUGAAUUUUGGCCCAUUCCUCCUGAUAGAGCUGUUGUAACUGAGUCAGGUUUGUAGGCCAGGGCUUUGUGAUGGCCACUCCAAUACCUUGACUUUGUUGUACUUAAGCCAUUUUGCCACAACUUUGGAAGUAUGCUGGGGUCAAUGUCCGUUUGGAAGACCCAUUUGCGAACAAGCUUCAACUUCCUGUCUGAUGUCUUGAGAUGUUGCUUCAAUAUAUCCACAUCAUUUUCCUCCUCAUGAUGCCAUCUAUUUUGUGAAGUGCACCAGUCCCUCCUGCAACAAAGCACCCACACAACAUGGAUGCUGCCACCCCCGUGCUUCAUGGUUGGGAUGGUGUUCUUCGGCUAGCAAGUCUCCCCCUUUCUCCGAUGGUCAUUAUGGCCAAACAGUUCUAUUUUUGUUUCAUCAGACCAGAGGACAUUUCCCCAAAAUGUAUGUGCAGAUGCAAACCGUAGUCUGGCUUUUUUUAUGGCAGUUUUAGAGCAAUGGCUUCUUCCUUGCUGAGCGGCCUUUCAGGUUAUGCCGAUAUAGGACUUGUUUGACUGUGGAUAUAGAUACUUUUGUACCCAUUUCAUCCAGCAUCUUCACAAGGUCCUUUGCUGUUGUUCUGGGAUCGAUUUGUACUUUUCGCACCAAAGUACGUUCAUCUCUAGGAGGCAGAACGCGUCUCCUUCCUGAGCGGUAUGACGGCUGCGUGGUCCCAUGGUGUUUAUACUUUUGUUUGUACAGAUGAAUGUGGUACCUUCAGGCGUUUGGAAACUGCUCCCAAGGAUGAACCAGACUUGUGGAGGCCUACAAUUUUUUGGCUGAUUUCUUUUGAUUUUCCGAUGAUGUCAAGCAAAGAGGCACUGAGUUUGAAGGCAGGUCUUGAAAUACAUCCACAUGUACACCUUCAAUUGACUCAAACGAUGUCAAUGAGCCUAUCAGAAGCUUAUAAAGCCAUGACAUAAUUUUCUGGAAUUUUCCAAGCUGUUUAAAGGCACCGUCAACUUAGUGUAUGUAAACGUCUGACCAACUGGAAUUGGGAUACAGUGAAUUAUAAGUGAAAUAAUCUUGUCUGUAAACAAUUGUUGGAAAAAUGACUUGUGUCAUGCACAAAGAAGUCCUAACCGACUUGCCAAAACUAUAGUUUGUUAACAAGAAAUUUGUGGAGUGGUUGAAAAACGAGUUUUAAUGACUUCAACCUAAGUGUAUGUAAACUUCCGACUUCAACUGUAUAUCAUGUGUUUCCCGUACAUACGACUAAUAAAACGUGAAACUUGAAAAACUCAUCCCAGUGUGUGUGGAGUUGCCUCACAUGUUGUUCACUAUUUGUAGCCGUUCCCCCUUCCUGAAAGACAGAUCGGAGGCAGUGCGAGACUCGUAGUCAUACAGCGCCAUGAACGUCGUCACACCUCCUGUGGGGGAGAGGGCAGACAGACACUCAUACCUCAGAGGAUGGGUCAUCAAAUAUUAAGUGAUAUUGCAAUACCAUUUUAAAAAAUACAGUACUAUUCAUAUAUGCAGAGUAAACUGUGUAGCUUUUCCAUAAAGAGUAUCAAACAUACAUUGUACUGAAUAAGAUUUGCACGUACUACAGUAGUCAGUAGUAUCAAAUAAGUAGCAUUCAAUGCACCUCUGCCUGUUUUAGAUAAUCUUACCUUUAGUGAAAUUAAUCACUAUAGUGAUUUAAUAAUUUAUUUAUAUUCCAUUCUAGGUAUUAGUGGGGUAUCUGGGCCCUACAGUCUUACCUGCAAGUGUCCCUCUGUUAGGAGACGUGACACUAUUGGCUGACUCCACUCCCCCAAACAGUGCCAGCUCCGGGGUAUUGAUCAACGGCUGAGUGGACCGGCGUGUUCCGCCCACUGCUGGACUCAGAUUGGGCGUGAGGGUGUGCUGGGCAGGGCUGAUGUUGUAGCUGCCACCCCCUCCUCCUAAACUGAUGUUACCAUCAAGACUCCGUGUCCGAAGGCCUGCGUCUUUGGGCUUGCUCUUGGUUCCCCCCAUGGCCUAAGCCUGUAAGACAGACAGAGAGACUUAUGAGCUUUUGCACUUUAAGCAAAGACAAUAAAAUGCUGGGAGUUUGAGCUUUUUAAUUAAUCCAAUAAGAUAUUGCACAGUUCAGACUUCUCCUUUCUACAUGAUGGUAUAGGCUUAGAAUAGCUAGAAUAAUCUUCAGCCAAACACCAUUCGAUACCUAGAUACUGUAAUUUAUUUUGUUUGGCCAAUAGGCUGUUGGUCGACCAAGAUUUUUUUAGUCGAGCAGUAGCAAAUAUAUAUAGCACAUGAGACAUUUCAUAUUUCACGCCUGUCUGCGUGGAUUGAUCCAUUGGAGGCCGCAGGGUUGGCACACCAGUAGUACAUUUACCAUUAACUUCUUGGUGACAGGGGGGCAGUAUUGAGUAGCUUGGAUGAAUAGGGUGCCCAGAGUAAACUGCCUGCUACUCUGUCCCAGAUGCUAAUAUAUGCAUAUUAUGAGUAGAUUUUGGAUAGAAAACACUCUGAAGUUUCUAAAACGGUUUGAAUGAUGUCUGUGAGUAUAACAUAAGUCAUAUGGCAGGUGAAAACCUGAGGAAAAUCCAACCAGGAAGUGGGACAUCUGAGGUUUGUAGUUGUUCAACUCUUUGCCAUUCCAAUAUACAGUGUAAAUGGGGUUAUAUUGCACUUCCUAAGGCUUCCCCUAGAUGUCAACAGUCUUUAGAACAUUGUUUCAGGCUUCUACUGUGAAGUGGGGGCGAAUGAGAGCUGAUUGAGCCAGGUGUCUGGCAGAGUGCCACAGGCUCUGAGGCGCGGUCACGAGAGAGUUAGCUCUCGUUCCAUUGCUUUUCUACAGACAUAGGAAUUCUCCGGUUGGAACAUUAUUGAACAUUUAUGAUAAAAACAUCCUAAAGAUUGAUUCUAUACUUAGUUUGACAUGUUUCUAUGGGCUGUAAUAUAACGUAUUGAACUUUUCGUCCGACGUUAAGGCUGGACCUGAACGCGCGUUUGGAUUUGUUUAACAAACGCGCUAACAAAAGAAGCUAUUUGGACAUACAUGAUGGACAUUAUCGAACAAAUCAAACAUUCAUCGUGGAACUGGGAUUCCUGGGAGUGCAUUCGGAUGAAGAUCAUCAAAGUGAAUAUUUAUAAUGCUAUUUCUGAAUAAUGUUGACUACACAAUAUGGCGGAUAUCUUUUUGGCUGCUUUGUUGUCUGAACGCUGUACUCAGAUUAUUGCAUGGUUUGAUUUUUCCGUAAAGUAAAAAAUAAAAUCUGACACAGCGGUUGCAUUAAGGAGAA